CAAUGGACGAAAGUCUGACGGAGCAACGCCGCGUGAGUGAAGAAGGUUUUCGGAUCGUAAAACUCUGUUUUCAGGGACGAAUGUGUGGAUUGUAAAUAAUGAUCCAUAAUGACGGUACCUGACAAGAAAGCCACGGCUAACUACGUGCCAGCAGCCGCGGUAAUACGUAGGUGGCAAGCGUUGUCCGGAAUUAUUGGGCGUAAAGCGCGCGCAGGUGGGAUAAUCAGUCUGAUGUGAAAGUUCGGGGCUUAACCCCGUGAAGCAUUGGAAACUAUUAUUCUUGAGUGCAGGAGAGGAAAGUGGAAUUCCUAGUGUAGCGGUGAAAUGCGUAGAUAUUAGGAGGAACACCAGUGGCGAAGGCGACUUUCUGGACUGUGUCUGACACUGAGGCGCGAAAGCCAGGGUAGUGAACGGGAUUAGAUACCCCGGUAAUCCUGGCCGUAAACGAUGGGUACUAGGUGUUGGGGGUAUCGACCCCUCCAGUGCCGGAGUUAACGCAAUAAGUACCCCGCCUGGGGAGUACGG
rnacentral:rRNA from 1 species